rnacentral:rRNA from 1 species
AUGCCGCAUGCACUCUUGAUCAGAACCGUGGUGACUUUGUGGGCGAUUUGGUCGGCGCGCUGCAAAGCAAUACAUGAAGGAAUUCUUCAGAGCCCUCACGCCACUAACUCCUUCAUUAACAGUUUUAUUGCGGAACUUGAAGUAAUCAAUGAAGCAAACACGCAACAAUCUGUCCAACAGAAUGUAGUGCCAAGGAGAACAGAAGCUAGAUAUGAAUGGAGAGCACCAGGCCCGGGCGUGGCAAAAAUACACGUGGAUGGGGGUCUGGCGAGGGUAGGGAAUGGAGGUUCAUCGACAGCUUUAUGCCGGGAUCAGGAUGGCACAUACCUGGGCUCUUCCGCGAUGGUAUUUAGUGACAUUCAUGACCCGACGACUCUAGAAGCGCUUGCAUGCAGAGAAGCUAUGGCACUGGCGCAAGAUCUCUCUCUAAGAAGAAUCGUUAUUGCAUGUGACUACAAAACAAUGGUGGAAGAGAUUCAUAAGGGGUCAGCUGGCCUAUAUAGCGUGAUCAUCAAGGAGAUUGAAGCUUCAGCUAGGGAUUUUGAUAGCUGUGUUUUUAUUUUUGAAAGUCGUGUGUUGAAUUUUGAGGCCCAUAGUUUGGCCAAGUUUUCCUCGUCGUUAGCAGUGGGUCGCCAUGUGUGGCUGGGCUUUCCCCAUGACCCGUUUAUAAUUCCUGUAAACCGAACCCCGUCUUGA